UACGGAGGAUCCAAGCGUUAUCCGGAAUCAUUGGGUUUAAAGGGUCCGUAGGUGGAUGGUUAAGUCAGAGGUGAAAUCCUGCCGCUCAACGGUAGAAUUGCCUUUGAUACUGGUCAUCUUGAAUCAAUGUGAAGUGGUUAGAAUAUGUAGUGUAGCGGUGAAAUGCAUAGAUAUUACAUAGAAUACCGAUUGCGAAGGCAGAUCACUAACAUUGUAUUGACACUGAUGGACGAAAGCGUGGGGAGCGAACAGG
rnacentral:rRNA from 1 species